rnacentral:lncRNA from 1 species
AGAGAAAAUGUGCAUAUUUUCUAAAGGUCUCUUGAUCAAAACCUCUGCCCCCAUCGUUGUGAACCUCACACAUAGCUCUAGCUUUUCUUUCUGAACUCAUUAGGAACUCGCCUUUCAUCUCAUAAUAAUCUUGUCCGUCUAUGACAAACAAAGUGUUUUUUGUUUUAAAUUCAUGAAUUCUUUUAGAUUACUGGGUAUGAAUCGAACUCUGAAUGUGCUACAGCCACGAAACCACUCUAUCGCGCGAGGGCUGCAGGAGCUUCUGAAGCGCGCAGAAAGUGGAGCACGGAGAACACAACGCACGCAUGCUCAUCUAUGAUGUUGCUCAGAUUAUUGCAAUCGAUUUUCAUUACUGAACUCGGAGACAAACACACUUCACAAGAUAUGCCUACUCUAUUUCUCCGGAGCUAAAAUCCUGUCAUGAGCAGUAGUUUACACAUUUUCGAAAUAGAGACGCAUAAAUAGGACACAACGUGAGGAAGACUAGGCAGCCAAACCAACCGUGAGUGAGACAACAUUUGGUCACAAUUUGAAAAUUCAAACAUUCGAACUCGAAAAGGGGGCAGGGUACGUUUUCUGAACCCGUCCAAAACGAUGGAGUUACAUAACUUCAGAAAACAACGCCAGUUUGUGGGCAAGGCAAGCCCACUAGAUGCUAAUCAACCAAGGGGCACACACACCCCUCUAUCGUCAACGCCCCCUCCACAAUCUCCCUCCCGGAUAGGUCCAGGCAGAGAUGGAAAAAACAACAACAAGGGCUUUAAAAACAUCCACAUUGUUCCGUCCAUCAGUAACAUCUGGUCAUCCAACCGGGGUACUGUGGCUACAUUCUCCUGUUUUCCGGCGCAUUUUUUAUUCUCCUCCAUCUCCGGGGAGGACAGAAAUCAAAGUUUAUAGUUCUUUCUUGCGUGAACCCAAAACGCGAACAUGCCCAGCAAGAGGAAGAAGAACAAGCGCCGCAUGAGAAGGGUGGCCAUACUCAUUCCUGAGGCCCCUGUGUCAGCUCUUGCUGAAUUUAAGGUCCAGGUCGAAAACUACGUAGUCAUUACCACAGAGAUCGCACAGACUCAUGACGAGCCGUGGCUCGAGGCUGAAGUGGAGGCUGAAAUAGUUGACGAGGUCCAAGCGAAAGUAGAGGCAGUAGUUGAGGAAGAACCAGAGCCCGAUCCCGUGGUCAAGGCCGAAGCUGCCCCAGUUGUAGAAGCUGAACUUGAAGAGUCGGGAAUCAAAGACGGAGACAAUCCUAUCGUCAAAGCUGAAGCCAUUCCUGAAGAUAUUGAUGCAGAAAAGCAUGAGACUGUUAUGACAGAGGCACCUGAAGAGGUUCCAGUGGAGACAGAAAUUAUCCCAGAAAAGCUGUGGAAGCCCGUGGAAGCACUGGUCAAAGAAGCCCCCGUAGCCGAGGUCGCUCCAGCAGAGCUCCUCGUGGAGCCCCCAGUAGACCCUGUCAUCAACAUAAUGGCUGACUUUGCCAUCACAGAAUCUGUUCCCGUUGUGGAGGCAGCCAUGGCUGAACAGGUGCCCGCAGUCCCAACGGAUUCACUUGACGCCCUAUCGGAGUUGCUGAACGACAUCACUCUAGUCACUGAGCCCGCCCCUGUCACAGCUGAUAAAGUCAUUGACGCUAAAGAGGAAAUUGAAGCCCAGAUGGAAAUCGAGGCUAAAAAGGAUGCCAUAGAUGAGAAGACAGUCCUUCACGUCAUCUCUGGAGAUUUAUCUGCCCCCGACCCUGUCAUCUCAGAACUGCAGUGUCACACGCAGCUCGCCGCCCCCAAGGAUAUCCCAGCAGAGGCAGUGCUAAAUGGACAGAUGGCAGCUGAGGUGGCCAUUGAGGGAUAGAUCUCUAUGGAUUUCCUUAGUCAGUAUGAAGGACUGAAGAGAGCCUGACGGUGAGCCGACCAGCGAACUUUACUUUUCAUUUUUUAGGGCUUAAAGGGACCGCUGGGAAAUUUGACAGACAUCCAACAAUCAGUGCCUUUCUUGCUUGGGUUCUUACAAAAAAAAUAUUAAACAAGUUUAAAAUGCGAUAUGAAGGUGGGGGAAUAAGACUCUUUUUUUAAAAACCAGAAUGUGAGAAUUUGGAAUAAACAAAUGAUGGCUUUCAUAGAUUUCUGUAUCCCAUUGCAUGUAUUGUAGAUUUGCAUCAAUUGUAAAUGGCAUGCAUUGUGUAUGAAUACUGUAGAAUUGAUGAAUGUGGCAAUGGCUUGUCUUCACAUUUGGACCAUGUUUGUAUGGAUGAGAGGGAUUAAUUCCUUGUACAUGUUUCCUGUUUUAACCUGGUUUGACUCCUUUUUGCGAAGGGACAGUAUCGCAGUUUGUACAGUACCAUAGCUACCCCCUCUUCUCCCUAUCACCAUUGUGGUACUUUUGUUUUUUCAGGGACUGUAUGAUGACAGCUCCACCCUCUUUAUUGUGUAGUGUCAGUGUGUCUACAGUCCCAAGUCUGUCCUGGGCAAUGUGAAAUGGUGUGUAGUUUUAGGUCCUCUGACCAGAUGCUCUUAACAUUUAAUUACCUACGCUGCCAACUGAAAACAGAGUACGGGGCCUGUAGAUCCUGUUUUUCUAAUUCUGUUUUGUAUAGACCAUAUGAUGUGGUACAACCGCUGUUUGUGUUCAGUUACGUGCUUUGGAAGAGACCAUGGAGUUGUCAUGUAAUUGAGGAGCUGGGUUGGAUUUCAUUCACCUUUUUGAAUAAAGAUGUUACUCACCAAGUCCUUGAUUCAGUUGUUGGCCUGUGUUCUACAUUCCUUAG